UCCUGCCCCCCUCCCUCAGUCUGGGGACCAACACCAAGCCUGCAGAAAUGGGGUCCUCUCUAAGGUGGGUUGGCCAACACCAAGCCUGCAGAAAUGGGGUCCUCUCUAAGGUGGGUUGUCUGGAAACGCAGGGCCUUUCUUGGUGCCUAUACCUCGAGGACCCAAGUCCCGAUCCUGACCCUUUUUUUCUUUUUCUUUCUUUCUUUCUUUCUGUCUUUCUUUCUUUCUUUCAUUUCACUAUCUUGAAUUUCCUUUUUCAAUAAUGUUUACCAGUGACAGCUAGCUUUGCAUCUCUGUGAUUCUGUAAUUCCUUCAUCAUUUAAUUCUUUCUUCCUUUUUCACGCCGUUACAAACUAUAUUUCUUUUUAAUGAGACGAUUUUUUGUCAUCUGAUGAAUGCCCAUAAGACACAAUGGACUUAAAAAAAACUGAUGUGAACAUGACAGGUAAAACAAAAAGAAAAACAAAACAAGUUUGAUCUGCUUCCAUCCAUCCAGGUGGUAUUAAUACAAUAUGAACUUCAUGUCCUUCAGUUCGAGCACAAGAACCAAAACAAUCAGUUCCCCAUAUUAUUUUAGUUCUGAAUUCUUUGGUCAUGUGAUAAUUAUAAUUUUUUUCUUUAAAUAUCAAUUACAACAGAUAGUAAGCUGUUGAUGAAGACAUGGACAAGAAGACAAGACACUUGAUAUGAUGUCUAAUUUCACUGUCUUUGUGUGCUGUACUUAUGUUUUCCCAUUCUGGGGGGUAAACAUAAAAACUGAUAUACCACUUCAGAACAUCUAAAAGAUUACAAUGGUGAUGUCCACCUCCCACACGAGCCAGAAGAAGUACAAGUCCUUUUUUGAUCUACCCUUGUUUGUCGAGACACCCCUGCCCCACCCCACCCCACCUUCUCUGCACAUUUGUGGGGUUUUAGUCAAAACUUCCACUGUUCUUUAUCUACUUAAAAAGCAAGCACAACACAGCUUAAUUUUUUACAGCAAAAAAAAAUUAGGGAAAAAAAAGGUUAAAACACAGAGAGACCAAAAAAACAUGUUUAUGGCAAUUUUAGCUCCUCUCUUAAACUCCCCUUCAUCUCUUGAAUCAGUGACUUUUUUUCUUUUUGGAAACAAAUCAAGUUGUGGUAAUACGUUUCCUUCUUGCAUCUCUGUGAAUGUUAAUGUAAACCACUCAAGGUUGAUUGUGACAGACACACGCACCAAUCGCCAUCCUCCAUCAGGCCAAUGACUCCUCCCACCCAGGAAAGGAGGCGGAGCCGCAUGUCUCAGAGCUUUUCCAAGCUGCAUGCACACUUUUGUAAAGCAAAACAAACAAACAAAUAAAAAAAAAGAUGGAGAUAGGUGUUUGUUCCACAUACCGUAGGCCAGCUUGUAUGUUGCAUGUACUUGUGCAGUUUGCUUGUACCUGAAUAUAAAGAGAUACACAAAAAAUAAAUGACAAGAAGAAACCGAAGCCAUUCACUGUCACACGUACUCACAAGGAUCAGCUGAGCUCAAAACCAUGCCCUACAUUGCCACGCUGAAUGUCUCAGAAACUUUUUUUUUGUUUAUUUCAAGCCGCUUUGAUUGUCCAACUAGUUUUUUUUGUUAUUAUUAUACGCCCUGUGAAAAACUAUAUGCUCUUUGGUAGAAAAACGCAGCAAAAUGUAACCUCCCCCCUGACACCCCCACAGAUGCUGUAUGUUUGUGUACAUCGUAAUUUACCUCAAAGAGGGGGGAGGGAAAGAAGAGAUUACUACACCAUGGCUAAUCAAAGCAGACCCAGUUAUACGUGUAACUAGCCAAUAACGAUAGCCAAUAUAUCACACAUACAGUACUGUACAUGUUACAAUAUAACUUCGUAUAGACGCACAGAGAAGUCAUUUAUGCGUAAAAAUGUUUAAUGAAUAUGAGUCAGCCAACCAACAUCCAGGUUUUGCUCAUAUUUGCAAAAAAGGGGCCAAGUCUGAUUACCAAGACCACACAUUCCGGUCCAGUGGGACUGGUAGGGGGACCUGGGGUCCACCAAAGAGGCAGGCAGACUGACCAAUGACCCAGUAGAGGUCAAAGGGUAAAUAAAAGGAGGGUCAAAUGUUUGUCCUGUUUAAAAGCUGAAUUCAGAGGUGUUCAGAAGGCUCUCUGUUUCGCUUUGAACCCUGCCUCUCACUGGGUUAGCCUGUAAACAUGUUUGAUAAUUAAUAAAAAAAGGAAAAAAAGUUUUCUUUUUUUUUGUUUUGUUUUUAUGUCCAGUGAGGCUGAGUUUUCCUUUUCUUUUCUUUUGUCAGUAUUAUUGGAUAGGAAUAAUAAUGAUGAUAAUAAUAAAAAAAAAAAUGAUGAUUGUUUACAAUUAAUGUGUUUCACUGAAAUGAGAAAAGAUAAUUAGAAAAAAAAAUAUCCACUGCAACAUUUUUGUUUGUAUACAGAUGUGGCUCAAAUGAUGUGUAUGUUUUAUAUUAAAAAAAGAGUUCAUUUUUAUUAUUUACAAAUAAAAAAGUGUGUGGAAGAAAA